UACGUAGGGUGCGAGCGUUGUCCGGAAUUAUUGGGCGUAAAGGGCUCGUAGGCGGUUUGUCGCGUCGGGAGUGAAAACAUCGGGCUUAACUCGGUGCUUGCUUUCGAUACGGGCAGACUUGAGGCAUGCAGGGGAGAACGGAAUUCCUGGUGUAGCGGUGAAAUGCGCAGAUAUCAGGAGGAACACCGGUGGCGAAGGCGCCACUCUGGGCCGGUACUGACGCUGAGGAGCGAAAGCGUGGGUAGCAAACCGG
rnacentral:rRNA from 1 species